CAUUAAAUGACUGAAAUUAGUAAGUCUUGAUUUUUUAAAUCAAUUAUAAUAGAUUAACUUCUAUUUUUAAUGA
rnacentral:tRNA from 1 species